rnacentral:rRNA from 1 species
AGGGGGAACCCUGAAUCCAGCCAUGCCGCGUGUGUGAAGAAGGCCUUUUGGUUGUAAAGCACUUUAAGCGAGGAGGAGGCGCUCUAGGUUAAUACCUUAGAAGCGUGGACGUUACUCGCAGAAUAAGCACCGGCUAACUCUGUGCCAGCAGCCGCGGUAAUACAGAGGGUGCGAGCGUUAAUCGGAUUUACUGGGCGUAUAAGCGUACGUAGGCGGCUUUUUAAGUCGGAUGUGAAAUACCCCGAGCUUAACUUGGGAAUUGCAUUCGAUACUGGGAAGCUAGAGUAUGGGAGAGGAUGGUAGAAUANCCAGGUGUAGCGGUGAAAUGCGUAGAGAUCUGGAGGAAUACCGAUGGCGAAGGCAGCCAUCUGGCCUAAUACUGACGCUGAGGUACGAAAGCAUGGGGAGCAAACAGGAUUAGAUACCCUGGUAGUCCAUGCCGUAAACGAUGUCUACUAGCCGUUGGGGCCUUUGAGGCUUUAGUGGCGCAGCUAACGCGAUAAGUAGACCGCCUGGGGAGUACGGUCGCAAGACUANAACUCAAAUGAAUUGACGGGGGCCCGCACAAGCGGUGGAGCAUGU